GGACCCCGGAAGUCCGGGCGGGCGCACAGCCGGGUGCGCUUUGCCACAGAGCCUUAAAGGCGCGCGGGAACAUGGGGCUGUAUGCUGCAGCUGCAGGCGUGCUGGCGGGCGUGGGGAGCAGCCAGGGCUCCAUCAAGGGGCUGGUGUACUCCAGCAACUUCCAGAACGUGGAGCAGCUGUACGCGCUGGUGUGCGAAACGCAGCGCUACUUUGCAGUGCUGGAUGCCGUGAUCUCCAGCGCCGGCCUCCUCCGUGCGAAGAAGCUGCGGCCGCACCUGGCCAAGGUGCUAGUGUAUGAGUUGUUGUUGGGAAAGGGCUUUCGAGGGGGUGGGGGCCGAUGGAAGGCUCUGUUGGGCCGCCACCAGGCGAGGCUCAAGGCUGAGUUGGCUCGGCUCAAGGUUCAUCGGGGUGUGAGCCGGAAUGAGGACCUGUUGGAAGUGGGAUCCAGGCCUGGUCCAGCCUCCCAGCUGCCUCGAUUUGUGCGUGUGAAUGCUCUCAAGACCUGCUCCGAUGAUGUAGUUGAUUAUUUCAAGAGACAAGGUUUCUCCUAUCAGGGUCGGGCUUCCAGCCUUGACUUACAAGCCCUCAAGGGGAAGCAUUUUCUCCUGGACCCCUUGAUGCCAGAGCUGCUGGUGUUUCCCGCCCAGACAGAUCUGCAUGAACACCCACUGUACUGGGCCGGAUACCUCAUUCCGCAGGACAGGGCCAGCUGUCUCCCAGCCAUGCUGCUGGACCCCCCGCCAGGCUCCCAUGUCAUCGAUGCCUGCGCCGCCCCAGGCAAUAAGACCAGUCACUUGGCUGCUCUUCUGAAGAACCAAGGGAAGAUCUUUGCCUUUGACCUGGAUGCCAAGCGGCUGGCAUCCAUGGGCUGGCGUCUCCUGCUGUGAGCUGGCUGGGGAGGACUUCCUGGCAGUCUCCCCCUCAGACCUGCGCUACCGUGAGGUCGGUCCACUACGUCCUGCUGGAUCCUUCCUGCAGUGGCUCGGGUAUGCUGAGCAGACAGCUGGAGGAGCCCGGGGCAGGACAACCGAGCCUGUGGCAGGACGACCAAGCCCGGCUCAUCUGCAUGCCCUGGCAGGGUUCCAGCAGCGAGCCCUGUGCCACGCACUCACUUUCUCUUCCCUGCAGCAGCUCGUCUACUCCACGUGCUCCCUCUGCCAGGGAGUGAGAUGUGCUGCAGCAGAACCCUGGUGCCUUCAGGCUAGCUCCCGCCCUGCCUGCCUGGCCCCACCGAGGCCUGAGCAUGUUCCUGGGUGCUGAGCACUGCCUCUGGGCCUCCACUGAGACUAUGCUCAGCGGUGGCUUCUUUGUUGCCAUAAUUGAACGGGUCAAGGCGCCAAGCUCAGCCUCACAGGCUGAAGCAUCAGCACCAGAAUGCACACCCAGCCCAGCCCCAAAGAGAAAGAAGAGACAGCAAAAAGCCGCAGCCGGUGCUUGCACACCGCCUUGCACAUAGCAGAGGCUCCGGGCUGACUCCUUCCUGGUGGGAAAGGAAGACGCCUGUCCUCUCCGUGGAGGACCCUGGGCCCUCACCGCAGGCAGCACUUUGGGUUUUGAAAGGGUAUUGGGUCCCUUCCUCAGGCUGUGUUCUUGCUGGUGAGCAAAGUGUUGCCUGCAGAAAUAAAAAGCAGAACGUACUCUAUGAUA